CCCUCUGGGGUGCAGCAGGCGGUCCAUGUCCCCGGCCCACCGCUCCAGGUUCGGCCUGCGAAAGUCCUGCUUGCUCUCCAGGAUCGAUCCCAAGAGCAUUUCCCCGAGUCGCCACGCGUCUGCGUGGGUGCGCUUCUUCUCAUUCUUGUCGUUCUUUUCCUUCUUGUUAGUCGUUGGCUGUUCGUUGACUGUCGGUGGGUCGUCCGUGGUCUGUUCGUUGUCCGUCCGUUGCUUGCCGGACUCAUUGAUGUCAUAGACCCUGUCCCCCAGGAUGGUUGCGACCGUCCCUCGGGUCGUUGGCUUGAACGCGGCAAGGCCCCAGCGUCUGAGGCGUUUGACCGCGGGUCGAUACUGCUGCUCACUGAGUCCGUAGCGUCGAUGGUCUCCGAUGAGAGC
rnacentral:rRNA from 1 species